AUCCAUUCCAGGUGAUUAACUGACACUAUGCGCUAAUGAUGUGCUAAGAACCUCAAAAUUAAAGAUAUAUACCAAUUAAUUGUAGUCAUAAUAUGAUUUCACAUCAAAAGAAUAGCAUUCACGUUAGUAGCAAAUCAAAUCCUUACCAAAAAAAUUAGUCGCGGCCCUCAGUGGCUCAGAUGCAAACAUAAAUAACUAAUUAGCAGGCAAGUGCAUCUGGAAAUUUUGGGAAAACUGCCUUCCAAAGGACGAAUUUGGAGACUUCAGCCUACUGCUAGAGCCUUCCUCUUUGUUACUCCCAGCAGAGAACCAAGUAGCAGACUCGUGGCCUCACUGGACAAGUAGGA
rnacentral:lncRNA from 1 species